GCAAACCCUUCUGUGUCUGUUUGCAGCUAGUUCUCUAAGGAAAGCAGGUGGGAAUUCGUGCACAUGAGCUGUAACAUUCAGCUACAGCCUUGAGUGGCAAAAGGUUCGCUUUUCACAAGAGUGAUGUGAAGUCCCCAGUGGCUGAUGAGGGGGGGGGAGGGGAGCGGGGAAGCAAGGAAAUUAAAAGUGAAGCCAAGGAUUGGUCAGGGCUGCCUUGAGGAUUCCUGCCAMGAAGCCCUGUAUCUGAACAAUUCUGAGUGGAGGAGGACAAGAAAACUGGCCUGCUUGCACUGUCACAGGGCACCUGCAUGCUUUCCCUGACACCACAAGAGAAGAUUGAGAGUGGGAAGAAUCAUGGACACCUUCAGGGUGGAAAGGACCUCAGGAGGUCUCCAUCCCUUCAUGUGCCCAGAAAUGUGAUCUGAGAGGAUUCACCUCAUGACUCCCUCCUCACCAAAGGGAGGCUGAACUGCCUGCAGCUCCCCAGGUUGCCCUUGUGGCCUUUUUGGAAGAUGGAUGUAACUAUUGCCUUUCUCCUACUAUCCCAUCCCUGAUCUGUUCUUCUCUUUUUGAAAUUUCCAGAUACAAGAAAGCAUCACUCUUAUUGGCCCAUCUGGCAGCUGUGCAAAGAAGUUGUCCCUGAUGCCCUCCAGAAACCUCCUGGCCUGCUUGCACCCUGCUGUUUGCCCUUCCAGUUCAGGCCAGAGGGAUUAAAGUCCCUGUGACAAGAACUAGGACCUGUGAUCCACAGACUUGCUCCAGUUGCUUAAAGGAGACUGCAUCCACCUCCCUACCCUCAUUAAGUGGUCUAUAGCUCCCACCAUGAUGUCACCCCUACUGUGAUGCUCACCCACAAGCACUAACCCAAACCCUUGCCUCUCCCAAGGAAGAGCUCCACACAUCUGAGCUGCCCAUUCCCACAAAAGGCAUCCUCCCUCCUCAUCUUCUCUGACCGUCUCUCCUGAAGACAUUGUACCCUACAAGCAUCAACCUCCAGUCAUGUGAGUGAUCCCACC
rnacentral:lncRNA from 1 species